rnacentral:rRNA from 1 species
GUCCUAGCCGUAAACGUUGGGUGCUAGGUGUGGGCGGACAUCGACCCCGUCCGUGCCGAAGCUAACGCAUUAAGCACCCCGCCUGGGGAGUACGGCCGCAAGGCUAAAACUAAAAGGAAUUGACGGGGGCCCGCACAAGCGGCGGAGCAUGCGGCUUAAUUCGAUGCGACGCGAAGAACCUUACCUGGGCUUGACAUGCAGGGUGAAGCCGGUGAAAGCCGGAGCUCUACGGAGCCUGCACAGGUGGUGCAUGGCUGUCGU